GUGUAUGAUCAUCAGGAUCCUCUUCCAUCCCUGGAACUGCAGGUGGCCCAGUGUGAGAGUACAGGGAAAAAGCACAGCAGCUGAGCUGCCUCUCCCACUUGGCAUGAUUGCCUAGGAGGGAGUUAUACAAAAGGAGAGAAUUGAUUUCUACGUUGGUUCCAUGAGAAAAAUGAAACUUCCUGCAAUUUCUCUGUGUGCGUCUCCCUCACCCCAGCUCCCCUUCCAAAUAACUUUUGACCCUUUUGGUCAGUUUUGGCCCUGUUGGAUCAGGAGGUUACACUGCAGGGAGUUAAUUGAGAUGAGCACUUGGUAAGAGGAGAGAGUCUCCAUGAACAUCCCAGUGAAGAGGAGUCUGUGGCUGAGCACCAGAAGAUUCGUAUGGAAAAGGGACGUGAAUGCUGCAGGGAGAUCUUUGCAGCAUUUCUACAGGAUCUACUGGAUUGUUUUACCUGAACUGUGGGAACUGGAGCAAUCUGCAGCUCACAAGAAAAAUCAGGAGACUCAAGUGAUGUGCCCUGGGACUUGCUCUUCAUUGUCUUUGCAGCUGUGAUCCCAACAGUCCUUGUGCUCCUGCUCAGAGUGACAGCCCAAGGUGUCAAACCCACUCUGAUCCUUCUUCUGCGGCAAGAUUUAGUUGUCUUUCAUACUGAGAACUUAUCUUAACAUAAUUUUAAUGCAUAAGGUGAAUUUCUUGCUAUGUUAAACUUCAUUUUCAGUGUGGAAAAGGAAGAGAACUGUGAAAGAUGUCCCUACUUUCCCUGUAUUUCUUCCAUAGAAAAGCUAGGACUGCAAGUAAGAGAAGAGUAGGGCCAAGGAAGCUCAAAGGACAGAGGAAACUUAGCCUGAACAAAACCUGAACAAACCUUCAUUACAGAACUGUCUGACUUUGGUGAAAAUUAUAUAUUGCUUUUGACUAGCAGGCUUUAUGAGAAAGCCAAGUUACUUUAUUAUUUGUAAAGUCAGUGACUAAAAAUGAAAGAGAUAACCUCUCAGAUAAUGUUGGAGAGUUUGUUUGUUUGUUGGCUUGUUUCAGUGGUUUGAGGAAGAAAUGAAAACUCCUUUGGUCACUAAAGGAAAUCAAAUAGCCAAGACAUUCAAAGCUUUGAUCACAGUCUUGAAUCUAAAAAUAUAAUAAACUAAGUAGCACUGCAAACAAACAUAAGUUGAGGCAUCAAUAACAGCAACUGAUAACCAGCUUUGUGGCUGGGAUAAUUUAGCUGGUUUAAAAUAAAAGAGUUAGCAGUAUAAGAAAGUAUAAGAAAGUAUGAAAAAUGGGCAAAAACUCUUGCUUUUCUGAGCACCACCUUCUACCUACUCCUUUGUUGCUGCUCUCAUGAAGAACUUAGAUGAGUUGAUGGCUGCAAUGUGUGUUUUUGAAUGAUAAACCUAAUUCUUAGUUACACAGCUGCAUCUGGAAAGGUCAACAGAGGACAAAGGUCAUGGGUCCAAUAAUGAUACUUCCUUGCAUGUUAAAAAACUUUAACAGUUUUCAUUUUAGAAGCUAAUAGAAUAAUCACCCUCAGCAGUUUAAUGCCAUCAGUCUGAAAGUAUUUUCUUUGAACUGCUGGCUGCUGCUUUAUUUGUUUAUUUACCUAUUAUUUUGGGAGAGGAGGAAGAGGGUGUAAGGAGAAACCAGGAAUUGCUGCAUGAGAGCUGACUUGUCUCGGGUAUCACACCAAACAAAUAUCUCUUGGGAAUGUUCUAGGUGUGGCUGCAGCUCUCCUAGCCCAAGGGACAGGCUCUGGGACAGAUGAGUGAGCUUUGGGUGUCUAACAUUAAAACUUCAUAUUCUGAGCAUAAAAAAAACCUCUUGAAGAAAAGUCCUGCCCUGCUCUCAGUGGAACUGCACUUCUGUGAACAUUUUAAACUAUUUAUUCAUGCAUCACCUGGUUCCAUUACAAGCAGACUUUUUCCCCCCAGCCAGUUUCCCACAAAGGCAGUGGGUGCUUGUGUUGGCACAGGAGGUGCAGCAGCAGGCAGCAGAUGUUAGCUGGGAGCUGGGAAUGCUUCUUUCCACGGUGGCCACUUAUGUCUUCAAAGCAUUUGAGAAACCCACAGCCUCAGGAACUGCUGAUAUGCAGCUUCCAGAGCUGUGUGGUAACUUUCUUACAGCCAUAUUAUGGUAUUUACCUAAAGGGCUUCAUUCCCUCUAUUACCAACAAUAUUAACAAGAAAUUCUUUGUAAGAAGCUUGGGCUACAUUCACUUUCAAAGUGAAUUCACACAUACAACUCAGAACACUGCUUAUAAGCAGUAUUUUAAGAUUUAGUACUUUACCUUGUUGUUGGCAAUGUGACUUUGUGACCCUGGAAUAUAAACUCAAAGGGUGCUUUGUCAGUGAUUUCUGAAGAGCAGAGACUUCAUCCUGAGUUGGCUUUACAGUACAAACACAAAUAUUGUUCAUGAUUUCUGCCCUCUGAUAAUGAUUUCAUCUUGUGAAAAGACUCUGCUGUGACAAGCUCACCCCUUUAUGUUAGUGAAGUAGUUAAAAUGCAGAGCUGUUCAGAGUAUUAUUUAAAUGUCUUUUGCAACCUUAGAAGCGAGUGACCUUGCUGCCCUGGCUAAAUUCCCAUUUACAUCAUUACUGUAAGUAAGUCUACUGUUUAAUUCCUCAAGGAAAUGCUGUGCAGAAGCCAAAGCUAAACCUGCACUGUUCAGUCUGAACUGGGAGAUCCACAGAAAACAGUGCUCUGCAGGGAUUCUGCACUGGGAGAGGUGUUUGCUGUGAAGCACUGGUGUUAGCUGAUGUAUAAAUUACUGCCUUUGCUCUGCCAUCACCAGAAAGACUCAGAUAGUAAAGGUAAUCAGCAAGGAGUACAAGCCAGAACAGAGAAACAACAGGCUUUAGGACUAUCCAGAAAUGUAUUUAAUGACCCUGACAAGUUUCGCCCUUGAAAUUAUAAAUUAGUCAGAACAAUAUUAGUCAGAACCUGUAAGCAAUUAGCCCAAAAAAGGGCUGAAGGACAGUUCUGGUGUUGCUAAGGCCCAGGGAAAAACACAAAAAAGUGUUAAAAGGGACAGUAUUUUAUUUAAAGGAAAUAGAGUAGAAUACUUUCAUUUUUUUUCCUAAAGAUUCUUAUGGUAGAAUGGCAUAGAGAUUUUGCAGGAAAGGAAGAUUACUUUUAUUAGGAAAAACUGUGUCUGUCAGAAUAGGUAAGCACUGAACAGAUUCCACACCACAGAAUGGCUUUUAUCAGAGGUUUGCAGAAUUAGACAAAUAUCUGUGAAGAAUAAAUAUACUUCAGUUCCUCUGCUUUGGGCAGAAGGUCUGUUCAUGUUUCUCUGAGUUGUAUUUGAAGCUGUUGUUUUCCUCUGUCCUGUUCUCUGCUGGCUCUAAUUCUGGCUGUGAGCAUGUGCUUUAGAAGGCUCACUGCAGACUGGGAUUUGGCACAUUGAGGUAUCUAAAAGAGCUUCCUCCCCAAGGCCAGACAAACAAUUGUUAGGCUGAGAUACAAAGAUCCAGGUGAUCCUAAAACACGCGGCACAAUUUGCAGGGUUUUUUUUCCCCUGUUCUUGAACUCAAAAAUCCAUGGCAACCACUGUUUAGUAAUAUCAGCCUCUUUCUCAUAGCUUUCCUGCCAAGUCUGCCCACCAAGGACAGGGCAUUGUUGGAGCUGCUGUUAACUAAUAACCAGUUUGGGCCUUACAAAAUACCAAUGAAGAGCACUACACUUGAUUGGAAAAAAUGGGUUAAAAUCACUGGUUACCUCUUCAGUAUUUACAGCAGCACCUGAGCAGUCUCAGGGGAGCAGCCCCUCAGUCAAAGCCCAUUGCCAUAAUGUACUCCAUAAGGCCUUGCCUGUAUGUUUAUUUUUUGUAAUGCUUGCCUAGUGCUGGAAUUUCAAGCCUUCGUGUUUAUCCAGCCACUUGUCUGAGUGGAAAAUUUGGGAAGUAAACAAGUCCCCUUCUAGGCACCUGCCGCCCUUGCAUGGUCUGUCCCUCAGCCUAAAUAAAGCUGCGACUGCUUCUGUGAAAACUGCUGUCCUGCUGUGAUGCAUGGGGCACCUGCAGGUAGUGAACACUGAUCUCUACAUGUUGCAGAGAUAUUUUCUUACCCGUUUUAUUUAUCAUUUCAAUCUUCUCUCUUUUGUGUCAAAUCUUUCUAUUAAAGAAUAAUACAAUAUGUGUAAAGUA